UACGGAGGGGACUAGCGUUGUUCGGAAUUACUGGGCGUAAAGCGCACGUAGGCGGAUUUGUUAGUCAGGGGUGAAAUCCCGAGGCUCAACCUCGGAACUGCCUUUGAUACUGCAAAUCUCGAGUCCGGAAGAGGUGAGUGGAAUUCCUAGUGUAGAGGUGAAAUUCGUAGAUAUUAGGAAGAACACCAGUGGCGAAGGCGGCUCACUGGUCCGGUACUGACGCUGAGGUGCGAAAGCGUGGGGAGCAAACAGG
rnacentral:rRNA from 1 species